rnacentral:lncRNA from 1 species
UCAGUAUUGUUUGUUGAUUUCUAUUUAUUUCCCCAGCUUUUUAGUUUAGAGAGAUUGAGGGUUCAGUUCUUGGUCUUUUUAUUUUCUAUGUCUCAUUCCCUAAGGCAUUCAUUAUACAAUUUUAAAUCCUAGCCAUAUGCUGAUGACUCCUUGUGUCUUUGGUCCAAAUUUCUUUCUUGAACUCAAGACUUCCACACUCAAGUUCCUGCUUACAUAUUCAUAUUUUUCCUAAAGAUUUUAAAAGCCUCUUCAACUAAAAUUAACCACCCCUACCUGUGGCUUUUCAAUAAACCUUACUUUUAUACUUUGUUGAAUGCCUUCUACAUCCUAGAUUCACAUAUGUUCUAUGAUUUAAUAAUUUAUUCCAACCAGUAGUGCAAUGCCUAUGAACUUUUAAUAAAUGUUUUGUGAAGAAUGUAUAAAUUCUCACUAAAGUCCUAUAAAGUAAAAAAUUAUCAUUCCUAAUAUAAUGAAGAAAAUGUGUUUCAAUAGCAUUAAGCAUCUUGUAGAAGGAUUUAUAGCUGGUAAAUUGACUCAGGGUGAAACUCAAGGCCUUUGACUCUAAUUCCAGUGCUUUCUCCACUUCAGCACACUCUUCAACCAUAUGGGUCAUAGUCCCCAGUUUAGACGUCAGUGAACAAGUUGCCUGCAUGGGCUGUCACCCCAGUGCUUUUUAUUCAAUAGGAGAGAGAUUGAGCGACUUUAUGUUUUGCAAACAAAAGGUUAUAAACUUAGUGUUACUAAAUGAAAACCUUGUAUUACUUACAUGUUUGGCUUUAUAAUUUUCCCUUUUAUUGUUAUGAGAAGACAUACAAGUAGAUAAAAUCUCAACUUGCCAGUUCUUUUCUCCAGAGAAAAUUAGGGUUAUUAGGGUUACUAAUUUCUCCUGCAGUCAUACAUAGAUAUUUUGUGUAUAUAAAACCAUACAUGUAAUUUUAAAUUUAUUUUGAUGUAGUCAAUUUUUUAAACGAAGGGACUGUCCUCUGCACUGCAGGAUGCUUAGCAGCAUCCCAGACUUGGUCAGUAGCACCCUCCCUCCCAGGAGGACAACCAAAACUGUACUCCCAAGUGCCAAACGAGGACAAAAUCACCUCUGGAUGAGAACUACUAAGCUGGAAAAUGAAGCACUCAUACACAGAAUGUAAGACUAUCACACUUAUUGGAAUCAGAGAAUGUGAUGAAAACUUGAUCACAUUAAGAAGGCAGAUGUUAGGCUACAAAGAUAAAGUAUCAAUGGACAAAAAUCUACUACCUCAAUGUAGCAGGUUAACUUUGGAAAGAGGCUCAUGCAUGACUCAGGCAUGUGAGUUCCUGGUUGCUUCAGAUGUGUGUGUCUGUUUGCCCAUGUCUUAUAAGGUUCAUCAGUUGUAACAAAUGUACUACUCUGAAGAGAGAUGUUGAUAAUUGAGGAGGAAUGGGAGUAUAUAGGAACUCUUCAUACUUUCCACUCAAUUUUACUGUGCAUCUAAAAUUGCUCUAAAAAAUUAAAGCCUUUAAAAAUAUAUGUAUAUAAACAUGCCAGCACCUAAAAGCCUCUCAUGAACUUAGGGGUUGUGAGGUUGUGAGUGCGAGUGUGUCAUGUUUGGUUGUUUAUUUAAUUACACACCAAGUCAUUUAAAUAUAGAAAUCAUGUCUUAAGUAUCCUUGAUUUUAAUUUUUAAAUAAAUUUUGUUUUGUAUCUCAAAGUGUUAUUUUACUUUGAGAGUAUCUCAUAGUUUCAUGCUUUACACCUUAGAGAUGCUUGUAUAUAGUAAAAUAAUUACUAUAGUGGAACAAAUUAACAUACAUAUAGCCUCACAGAGUUAUUCAUUUUCUUUACCCCUGUGGCAAGAGCAGCUAUAAUAUACUCAUGUAGCAAAAAUCCUGAAUACAAUACAUUAUUAUUAACUAUUGUUUUCACAUUGUACAUUAGAUCUUUAGACUUGUUUGUCCUACAGCUCAAUAGCAAGAAAAUAUAUGAUCCGAUUAAAAAAUUGGCAAAGGACCUGAAUAGAUAUUUCUCCAAAGAAGAAAAAAAAAUGGCUAACAGGCAUACCUAAUCAAUCAUAGCAUGCCUAUACUGCUCUUAAACACAAAGCUCAGCAUGAAACCAAAAAUAAUUUGUAAUCACUGCUUUAAAUAGUACUCACUAUAACAGUGUUUAUUGACCUGCUUUCCCCAACUGGGAGAAUAUGCACAGGUUCAGCUUUCACAUUUGAGACGCUAAAAAUAAAAACAAAAACAAAACUCAUUUCUUAUUUAGCCAACAUUUAAUGUGCACCCACUAUGCGUCAGGCUUUUUGCCCAGGCAGUUCAAUUCAAAUUCUCCCUUCUGUGCAGAACUAAGGGGUUCAGUAUUUAUUUCAUUUGCUAUACGCCCGCUGGAUAUUUUUAAAAGAACAGAACAAAUGAACCAGAGUGCAUUAUCUCAUGCAUUUUUUUCUUCUCACAAUAGUCCCAUGAGGGAUGUAUUAUCCCAUUUUACAAAUAAGACAACCAAGAACACAAGAAUUUAAUAACUUCCCUGAAGGUCAAAUUAAUAUGCUGAAGAGCCAGGAUUCAAACCAGGAGUUUUCUGGCCCUGGUUACUUUUAUUCUUUCCACUGCUCUGCACUGCUUUAUCUCAUUACUGAUGGUAGAAUUAAUUGCUCUAAAAGUAUCAGUUUCUAUUUUAUUUAUAAGCAGUUACAUAGAAGUCAUACAGCUUCAGAAUUUGAAGGGACUUUAGAAAUAGUGUAUUCUUCUUUUUGUAGUAAUAUGUUAUUCUUGUUUUUCAUAUGGAUGUAUAUUUCACCAGGAAGGGGAACUGACUUACUUAGGGCUGGAGCUGGAAUUACAAUCUGAGUCUUUCAUUCAGAGCUAAUCCAUGUUUCUUCCAUCCCAUCUUAUAUGCCUCAUCUGAUUCUUUAUGAAUUAGAAAAGCAGGGUUUUACAAUUGUAAUUAUUUUAACAUUUUAUGACAUCUAAGAAUGUAACUGAUACUUUCAAAUAUAUUAUCUCUUUUCAUUCUUAUCAUUGCCCUCACUGCCUGGCCCUACUUUAAUAGAGUCAGUUUCAUUUCAGUUAAUUUCACCAAAUAUUGAGCACCUAUUAUAUUACCAGAGGAGUGCUGUGGGAACACAAAUAUGAGAAAGGACCAGGCUGAGUUGGUCACCAGAGAACUUGUGGUCAAUAGGAGGAUUAUAUGUUUCAAGGUCAAGUAUGACAAGUACUGUAAGAGCCAUCUCAAAAAAAAUCUUCUGAGUAAAAAUGAGUAAAGAAAUAUCACAUAAUUUGUGGGAGAGUGUAACAUGGGAUGAGUUAGGAAAGGCUUUGUAGAAUAGGUAGCCAUUGAAUUGAAUCAAGAAAUAGGAUAGAGCUAGAAAACAGUUUUAACAAACACAAAGACAUGUGAAAAGAAGAAGAGACAUUUUGGGCCCUGUAAGUACUAAGACCAGCAGCAAUUUUCACAGUGGUAAUGCAACCAUUUACUCAACAAUGCUGGAUUGACUUGGUUACAAUCAGAGAGCGUCUUUAGUCUAUUAUUUCUCUUUAUUAAGCCCACUCUAUGUACGGGCUGCUGGUGUAUCCAGGACACCCAGUGCAUGGCACCUCUCUUCCCUGUCUGAAUUUUGAACAAUUGGAGAGACAAGACAGAGAAGAAACAUUUGGAGAUCAAAUCUAGCCUUCAUGUUGCAGAAAAGCUAAUUGUAGAAAUUAGCCGAAUGUGAGAGCAAAGUGCAUGUGGGAAGUGAACUCCCAAUUUAUUCAGACUUCCCCAACUGUCACAGGUACGCUGGCCCAAGGCGAGCAUCCGUAGAAUGGGGGGGUGCUGCCCAGUUCCCUUAAACCGAGUGAUGCCACACCUCUAGCUGGCUCUUCCAAGCUCUCCUCCUGCUCCUUAGGCUUCUGAUAACCUGAGUCACAUACAGUCCAGGCUGUUUUCAAACUUUGGGGGUCACAUAUGGCCUCCUAGGAAACACUGCUUGCCCCCUGGACGGGACUCCAUCUCCUUCCUCUGCUUGGGUAUCUGAGGUACAAAGCACUGAUCUCUGUUCUCCCAACCAUUGUCUUCCCCAGGCAAAGGUCAUGUGUGACUCAAUCCCAUUAUGCACAAGCCCAGCAAUCUAAUGGUUCCACUAAAGUCGCUUUCACUUGGAUUGAGGUAGGGAGAUAUUGGAUUUCGUUUGGCUACUAAAUCACAGAUCCAAAAGGACAGUGUAUACCCAAUACCAGCUUCAAUCUGAAAUUGUUGAUCUCUGAAUCUAAUCCAUUUAUCACACAGGCCAGGCUUGAGAGGAAGGUAUCAUCCUUAACUCCGCCUGCUUCCUCUCUCCCCUAAUUAAAUUAGUUACCUAGUUACUUGUUUAUUGUGCCUUAGGAGAGCCCUCAUUGCACUUCCAUUUUGGUAGAGUACAUUAUUCAUCAGUAACCCAAGGAUAUGAUUAUCUUUACACUUAAAUUGUACAAGUUAAAACAAACAAAAAAAACAGAAGUUCAAGAAAGCCUUAUAUAUCCUUAGUACUAGUCCACAUGUUUUCCCUUCUUAUUGCUAUUACUCUCUGUCCACAUUCUGUGAAUGACCAAUUAUUUGUCCUGUCUCAAUAUUCUUUACCAAUUUUAAAAGCUUAUCAGGUAAAAAAGAAGAUACCAGCCAGUCCAAAUAGAGUAAGCAUUUAACAUACCACCUCUUCACUUCCACCUUGGUGUUAUACCAGCAAUCAACACAGGUUUCCAGGGCUGAAAUUAGGGAGAUUACAUUUUAUGAUGAUGAAAAUCUCUCUUUGGAGGGUAGCAUUUUACCUUGUGUGCAAUGAAAAUCUGUUCUGACAGUUCCAAUUAUGAGAAACACUCCACCACUAACAGUUUGGCCGUGACUCACCUCCAAGUGUUUCCGUCUGCAACAUCUGUCCAGUUUGCCUUUUCUUUUUUAAAUCACAAUUUAAUUUUACAUGGAGGAUGCUUGUAUAAAGCAAGACCCACACACCGUUUUAUCAGGGAACCAUUUAAAACAAGCAUGUGAUUUGGGAUGCAGAAAAUACUUCAGCCUCCAAAACUUUUCUAAACAGAUUCUGGUCUUUUGUAUCAUUUCUGCCGUGGAGUAAUAGGGCUAAGAGCUGAAUUUUAUGCUCUCAGUAACUGAGAACACUAGUAGAUGAUGUACUUGUAUUCAUAAACCAUGGUCCUAGCAGAAUAAUGUAUCUCUUCUUUUAAUAUUCAGAUUUUUUUACUUAGGUUUUUAGAGAGGCCUUGGUGUGCAGUCCCUUGUCAAGUUCAAGAGUUAGUUCUCCUGGAUAAUAUUCCUCUCCCUUUAUGACCACCAUGAUUUAUACAUUACUUUUGUCAUGGGGUAUGUUCUUUGAGAUUUUCUCAAUAAGCUCUCUGAAGCUAGCAUAAAUUAUCUUCUUAAUAUUUGAGAAAUAUUGUAGUUUUAUGCAGUUCCUUAAGAACUCUGACCCUUUUUAAAGCUAAUCCUAAAUAAAUUUUAUUUCUAACCUCACUGUUUUACAUACAAAAAUUCAUUGUGGCAGUGCAGUUACUUUUAUGCUAGACCUUAUUAUAUUAGAGGUUGAUAUGGUUUGGCUCUGUGUCCCCAUCCAAAUCUCAUCUUGAAUUGUAGUUCCCUAUCGUAAUCCCCACAUGUCAUGGGAUGGACCCGCCACCAUAUGAAGAAAGAUGUGUUUGCUUCCACUUCUGCCAUGAUUAUGAAGAAAUUGAGGCACUGAGAAGUUAGCUAUUUUGCAUAAGGUCAACCAGCUAGUAUAGCAGGGUAGAAUAAGACUUGGGAAAUCUGACUCCAUAUCCCUGAUAUAUAACUACUUUGCCAUCCUACUGAGGAGAGAGAUCCUAAACCCUCCAGAGAGGGCUUGGGACAUAAGGAGAGGAUGGGACAUUAUACAUGGUCCCUUGGUGUGAUGAGCUGAUCCCCAGGUAUCACCUCCAAGCUUUGACCACCAGUCUGGAGCUUACUGUCCUACACACUCACCCUCUUCCUUCUACCCCUCCUGCCACACACACAUCACUGCAGUCUUGAGUCCCUCUGGACCUCAGUUUCUACCUCUCUUCCUUUGGAAAUGUCUGCUUUUCCCCCAGUCAUUCUUGCAGCUCAUUCUUGCUUAGGUUGUCAGUUGUAACUAUUCCACCUUCACUUGUUUCCAUGGCUAGAUUAGGUAAGAUAGAAUUCAGGGCCCCAGGGAUAUCCUCAUCCAGUGCCAAGAGUACAAGUGACAGCUGACUUUCCGGUUUCCAGAUGAUGUUGGAACCCAUCUGGAUGGCAACUCCAUCUCUAUGCUGGUGUCUUGCCUGGGAGGCAAAGUUCACAUGGGGAAGGAAUAGGAAUGGAAUCUUUAAACUGUGAAAGGAAAAUAAAUCUUGGGGCCCCCAAAUCACUAAGCUAAAG